AACGAACGCUGGCGGCAUGCCUAACACAUGCAAGUCGAACGAGACCUUCGGGUCUAGUGGCGCACGGGUGCGUAACGCGUGGGAACCUGCCCUUAGGUUCGGAAAUAACUCCCCGAAAGGGGUGCUAAUACCGGAUAAUGUCUUCGGACCAAAGAUUUAUCGCCUUUGGAUGGGCCCGCGUUGGAUUAGCUAGUUGGUAGGGUAAAAGCCUACCAAGGCGACGAUCCAUAGCUGGUCUGAGAGGAUGAUCAGCCACACUGGGACUGAGACACGGCCCAGACUCCUACGGGAGGCAGCAGUGGGGAAUAUUGGACAAUGGGCGAAAGCCUGAUCCAGCAAUGCCGCGUGAGUGAUGAAGGCCUUAGGGUUGUAAAGCUCUUUUACCCGGGAUGAUAAUGACAGUACCGGGAGAAUAAGCUCCGGCUAACUCCGUG
rnacentral:rRNA from 1 species